UACAGAGACCUCAAGCGUUAUCCGGAAUCAUUGGGCGUAAAGCGUACCGAUAGGUGGUUUAACAAGUCAGAAGUGAAAUCUUAAAGCUUAACUUUGAGACUGUCUUUUGAAACUGUUAAACUUGAGGGGCAAAGAGGAAGCUGGAACGAACGGUGUAGUAGUGAAAUGCGUUGAUAUCGUUCGGAACACCAAUAGCGUAGGCAGGCUUCUGGGUGCCACCUGACACUGCUAGAACGAAAGCGUGGGGAGCGAAUGGG
rnacentral:rRNA from 1 species